rnacentral:rRNA from 1 species
CAAUAGCGUAUAUUAAAGUUGUUGCAGUUAAAAAGCUCGUAGUUGGAUUUGUGGCGUACGGUGUGUUCCGGGCACUCGUUGUCUGAGUAACCUGCUGUUGCCAUCCUUGGGUGGAACCUGUGUGGCAUUAGGUUGUCGUGCAGGGGAUGCCCAUCAUUUACUGUGAAAAAAUUAGAGUGUUCAAAGCAGGCUUAUGCCGUUGAAUAUAUUAGCAUGGAAUAAUGAGAUAGGACUUUUUUGCUAUUUUGUUGGUUUGCGCAAAGAGGUAAUGAUUAAUAGGGACAGUUGGGGGUAUUCGUAUUCCAUUGUCAGAGGUGAAAUUCUUGGAUUUUUGGAAGACGAACUACUGCGAAAGCAUUUACCAAGGAUGUUUUCAUUAA